rnacentral:rRNA from 1 species
GACGAACGCUGGCGGCGUGCUUAACACAUGCAAGUCGAACGGAAAGGCCCUGCUUUUGUGGGGUGCUCGAGUGGCGAACGGGUGAGUAACACGUGAGUAACCUGCCCUUGACUUUGGGAUAACUUCAGGAAACUGGGGCUAAUACCGGAUAGGAGCUCCUGCUGCAUGGUGGGGGUUGGAAAGUUUCGGCGGUUGGGGAUGGACUCGCGGCUUAUCAGCUUGUUGGUGGGGUAGUGGCUUACCAAGGCUUUGACGGGUAGCCGGCCUGAGAGGGUGACCGGCCACAUUGGGACUGAGAUACGGCCCAGACUGCUACGGGAGGCAGCAGUGGGGAAUAUUGCACAAUGGGCGGAAGCCUGGUGCAGCAACGCCGCGUGCGGGAUGACGGCCUUCGGGUUGUAAACCGCUUUCGCCUGUGACGAAGCGUGAGUGACGGUAAUGGGUAAAGAAGCACCGGCUAACUACGUG